rnacentral:rRNA from 1 species
AGAGCGAACGCUGGCGGCAGGCCUAAUACAUGCAAGUCGAACGGAUCCUUCGGGAUUAGUGGCGGACGGGUGAGUAACACGUGGGAACGUGCCCUUUGGUUCGGAACAACUCAGGGAAACUUGAGCUAAUACCGGAUGUGCCCUUCGGGGGAAAGAUUUAUCGCCAUUGGAGCGGCCCGCGUCUGAUUAGCUAGUUGGUGGGGUAAAGGCCCACCAAGGCUACGAUCAGUAGCUGGUCUGAGAGGAUGAUCAGCCACACUGGGACUGAGACACGGCCCAGACUCCUACGGGAGGCAGCAGUAGGGAAUCUUGCGCAAUGGGCGAAAGCCUGACGCAGCCAUGCCGCGUGAAUGAUGAAGGUCUUAGGAUUGUAAAAUUCUUUCAGCGGGGACGAUAAUGACGGUACCCGCAGAAGAAGCCCGGCUAACUCGUGCCAGCAGCCGC